GAAGAAAGAUUGAGGCGUGCUUAACACAUGCAAGUCGAACGGAAAGGCCCUGCUUUUGUGGGGUGCUCGAGUGGCGAACGGGUGAGUAACACGUGAGUAACCUGCCCUUGACUUUGGGAUAACUUCAGGAAACUGGGGCUAAUACCGGAUAGGAGCUCCUGCUGCAUGGUGGGGGUUGGAAAGUUUCGGCGGUUGGGGAUGGACUCGCGGCUUAUCAGCUUGUUGGUGGGGUAGUGGCUUACCAAGGCUUUGACGGGUAGCCGGCCUGAGAGGGUGACCGGCCACAUUGGGACUGAGAUACGGCCCAGACUCCUACGGGAGGCAGCAGUGGGGAAUAUUGCACAAUGGGCGGAAGCCUGAUGCAGCAACGCCGCGUGCGGGAUGACGGCCUUCGGGUUGUAAACCGCUUUCGCCUGUGACGAAGCGUGAGUGACGGUAAUGGGUAAAGAAGCACCGGCUAACUACGUG
rnacentral:rRNA from 1 species